rfam:Streptomyces sp. NRRL S-495 contig56.2, whole genome shotgun sequence.
GCCGGUCCUCGGUAGUGGCCGCCGGAGGCCCCGCAGACCGAAGCGGGGACCGCCGGAGGCUUCGAUCGAAGACCGGC